UACCAGCACCCCGAGUGGUUGGGACGAUUAUUGGGCCUAAAGCAUCCGUAGCCGGUUCUACAAGUCUUCCGUUAAAUCCACCUGCUUAACAGAUGGGCUGCGGAGGAUACUAUAGAGCUAGGAGGCGGGAGAGGCAAGCGGUACUUAGUGGGUAGGGGUAAAAUCCGUUGAUCCAUUGAAGACCACCAGUGGCGAAGGCGGCUUGCCAGAACGCACUCGACGGUGAGGGAUGAAAGCUGGGGGAGCAAACCGG
rnacentral:rRNA from 1 species